rnacentral:lncRNA from 1 species
GAUCGUCAUUUAUAUAUAAAGGUCAUUUAUAUAUAGAGGUAUUUAUUGAUGUAAACAUUAAUUCAAAAUAGUGAAGAUGUAGUCAGUUGAGCUUUGGAUCCGUAGACGUAGGGCUUCGGCCUGAACCACCUUGUGUUCGUGAAGAUAUAGCCAGUUGGGCUUUGGAUCCAUGGACGUAGGGCUUCGACUUGAACCACCUUGUGUUCUCUCUUCUUCUCUCUCCUUGAACCAUGGAUCUGUGGACGUAGGGCUUCGGCCUGAACCACGUUGUGUUAUCUCUUCUUCUCUCUCCCUGAAUCAUGUCUCUUUGCUUUUUCUUCUUCUCUCUCCCUGAAUCACGUUGUGUUCUUUCUUAUUCUCUCUCCCUUUUUCAUUGUAUGCUCCCUCGAAUUCUAACAUGGUAUCAAAACCAAGCUUUUGCAGACACCGCCAUUUUCGACCAGCGUUUGGUAAGGUGUUCUCUCUUCUUCUCUCUCCCUUAUUCAUUUGGUAAGGUGUUCUCUCUUCUUCUCUCUCCCUUCUUCAUUGUAUGCUCUCUCGAAUUCUAACAUGGUAUCAAAACCAAGCUUUUGCAUAUACUGCCAUUUUCGACCAGCGUUUGGUAAGUCGAUCUCUUCU